rnacentral:rRNA from 1 species
UACGAAGGGGGCUAGCGUUGCUCGGAAUCACUGGGCGUAAAGAGCGCGCAGGCGGUCGGCCAAGUCGAGUGUGAAAGCCCCCGGCUCAACUGGGGAGGGUCAUUCGAUACUGGUCGACUCGAAGGCAGGAGAGGGAAGCGGAAUUCCCGGUGUAGUGGUGAAAUGCGUAGAUAUCGGGAGGAACACCAGUGGCGAAGGCGGCUUCCUGGCCUGUUCUUGACGCUGAGGCGCGAAAGCUAGGGGAGCAAACGGG